GAAUUACUGGGCGUAAAGCGCACGCAGGCGGUCUGUCAAGUCGGAUGUGAAAUCCCCGGGCUCAACCUGGGAACUGCAUUCGAAACUGGCAGGCUUGAGUCUUGUAGAGGGGGGUAGAAUUCCAGGUGUAGCGGUGAAAUGCGUAGAGAUCUGGAGGAAUACCGGUGGCGAAGGCGGCCCCCUGGACAAAGACUGACGCUCAGGUGCGAAAGCGUGGGGAGCAAACAGGAUUAGAUACCCUGGUAGUCCACGCCGUAAACGAUGUCUACUUGGAGGUUGUGCCCUUGAGGCGUGGCUUCCGGAGCUAACGCGUUAAGUAGACCGCCUGGGGAGUACGGCCGCAAGGUUAAAACUCAAAUGAAUUGACGGGGGCCCGCACAAGCGGUGGAGCAUGUGGUUUAAUUCGAUGCAACGCGAAGAACCUUACCUGGUCUUGACAUCCACGGAAGUUUUCAGAGAUGAGAAUGUGCCUUCGGGAACCGUGAGACAGGUGCUGCAUGGCUGUCGUCAGCUCGUGUUGUGAAAUGUUGGGUUAAGUCCCGCAACGAGCGCAACCCUUAUCCUUUGUUGCCAGCGGUUAGGCCGGGAACUCAAAGGAGACUGCCAGUGAUAAACUGGAGGAAGGUGGGGAUGACGUCAAGUCAUCAUGGCCCUUACGACCAGGGCUACACACGUGCUACAAUGGCGCAUACAAAGAGAAGCGACCUCGCGAGAGCAAGCGGACCUCAUAAAGUGCGUCGUAGUCCGGAUUGGAGUCUGCAACUCGACUCCAUGAAGUCGGAAUCGCUAGUAAUCGUGGAUCAGAAUGCCACGGUGAAUACGUUCCCGGGCCUUGUACACACCGCCCGUCACACCAUGGGAGUGGGUUGCAAAAGAAGUAGGUAGCUUAACCUUCGGGAGGGCGCUUACCACUUUGUGAUUCAUGACUGGGGUGAAGUCGUAACAAGGUAACCGUAGGGGAACCUGC
rnacentral:rRNA from 1 species